rnacentral:rRNA from 1 species
AGGACGAACGCUGGCGGCGUGCCUAACACAUGCAAGUCGAACGCGCUCCAUUCGGUAGCAAUACUGAUGAAGAGCGAGUGGCGAACGGGUGAGUAGCACGUGAGCAACCUGCCCCGAAGACUGGGACAACACCGGGAAACCGGUGCUAAUACCGGAUAUCCCUAUCGGACCGCAUGAUUCGAUAAGGAAAUGGAUUCCGCUUCGGGAGGGGCUCGCGGCCUAUCAGCUAGUUGGUGGGGUAAUGGCCUACCAAGGCAUCGACGGGUAGCUGGUCUGAGAGGACGAUCAGCCACACUGGGACUGAGACACGGCCCAGACUCCUACGGGAGGCAGCAGUGGGGAAUCUUGCGCAAUGGGCGAAAGCCUGACGCAGCAACGCCGCGUGGAGGACGAAGGCUUUCUGAGUUGUAAACUCCUUUCAGCAGGGACGAUAGUGACGGUACCUGCAGAAGAAGCACCGGCCAACUCGUGCCAGCAGCCGCGGUAAC